CACCAGGCUCACGUGUCGAUGCCGUGGUCCGGAUCAAAAAUUUCCACUCCAGAAAAUUCCGUUCCAAAGCUUGAUGGCAGACGAGUCCUGAAGAAUUAUUUUUGAAACCAUAUUGAUAUGUAGGUUAUCAACCAACAACAAGGAACAGUCUGUUGUGCACGGAAGCAAGAAAAUCACUGAGACUGGGACACAGAAUUCCCAACCACAUAAUGGAUUACUGGCAAACUGUAGCUCCUUUGCUACAGCAGCUGGAGGUUGAGAAGGUCAGAAAAACAUUAGUUACUUUGCAAUGUUGUUCAUUUGCUGUUCUGCAUCCACAUGUGAGUUAGUUUUGUGGCCACACGGUGGUGAGAAGUGUUGCUUCUUGUCUGGGGAAGAAGGUCUGCCAAAUCUAAACGCUGCAGUUAUUUCUAAAGCAAAGUUAGGUGUACUGUACUGCACACAGUACACCAGGAAAGGCCCAUUAGCCUACUGGGUUAGGGUAGAUUCCAAGAAGAGGAAGGAGAAUUUGGCUGAAACAAAGUCUCUUUCCAAGUAUGUGUUUUUUCCUGCCUUCACCUUCACCUGAACUCUAAUCAGUCAUGUUUAAUGAUCCCUGACCUGACCCUAAAUUGAAGUAAA